rnacentral:lncRNA from 1 species
CGAAAGAACCCAAAUGCAACGGAAGUGGGCACACCUGACACCCUAGGAGGAAAAAAUGAACUAAUAUGUACAGGAAACGAAGAUCGUGGGUUAGAUAAUUUAGAAAACCUACAGACAAGCAGUGAGAACAUUCAAAAGACACCAAAUAAUCAAUUUGUCAACAUCCAAGAAAAUUAAGAUCCGAAUGAAAACCUUGCAGGUCCCUCGGAUUUACUAUAGGUAAAAAAAAAUAAUAGUUGUAAAUGACAACACCCGGAGGAUUUAAUGGAGGGCUGUCUAUAGAAACGGUUCGUCCUUUCCCAAAGACUGCGAACAGGACCAACUGCAUUCAACGUAAAAAACGCACAUCAUCAAUACUAACAGAUACUCCAGUUAAGGAUGAAAUUGUGCAGGACGAAAAGUCUAAACAGAACAAAAAAAUAUACAAAACAAGAAAAGCGUUAAAAUGAAUCUGCCUGCUACCCAAAAAAA